AAUUUAUAUAAUUAAUGCAAAGUUUAACUGAUUUUCAUGACUAUUUGUAAUAAAUCUUGUAUAAAGAUCGCUUGUUUUGUUUGUAUUCAUGCACAAUCUUGGAUAAUAUGCACAUAUAAUGUCACCGUCCAAACCAUCAUAUUCAUACUAAGGAAUAAAAAAACUCUUAUCAUAUCCACGAAAAUCCAUAGGUGAAAAAAAUCCUAUCAAAAAAAACUUCAAAAAUACGGUAGUUAGAAAAGAACCCAAAACUAAUACCAACUUCAUUAUUAAUAUUUUUGUCAAUAACCAACUUCAUUCUUUUUAAAACGAAAUUUUAUAUGACCAUGCCCACUCUCUACUUGGUUUUCUUCUCAAUCCCCACCGCCACAACCACCACCGCCGCAACCUCCACCACCACAACUAGCACCACCAUCACUACUACCACUAAAACCAUCAUCAACAUCAACAUCAACAUCAACAUCAACAUCACCAUCACCAUCACCAACACUGCCACAGUCUCGACGAUUGUCAAUGAAAAUUAUCGGGUCGCUAGAGUCCCCUCCAUAGCUUUCAAUUUUUUCAUCAUAUGCUUUCAUUCUCUUUCCCUUCUUACUCUUGGGAUAUAUGAGCCUAGAAAGGCGGGAAGCAUCUUGUUUUGCUCCGGCAUCCCAAUACAUCAUCAUCAACACCUUGUUCGCUGAGUCUUUCGACUUUGUAUCAACUACAAGUUCUGUUCUACGCAACAUCUCUACCGCUUUUCUACUUGAACCACCUUUUAAAUACGCCUUUGCGAUGCUUAUUCCCGUUUGCCACGCCAAUGAGAAUCGCGGUUCUUCGACUUCUAAUCCCAUCAGAAACAUUUCCAUUGCCUCCACAUCAGGUAGACUCGCGUAAGCCUUCAAAACGUUAUUGGCAGUGAGAUUCUUGUCAUGUUCUACUCCAUUCUCCUUCAUCUGCCUGAGAAUCUCGUCGAUCAUGUUUUUUUCU
rnacentral:sRNA from 1 species